UACGAAGGGGGCUAGCGUUGUUCGGAAUUACUGGGCGUAAAGGGCGCGUAGGCGGUGUGUCAAGUCAGGCGCGAAAGCCCCGGGCUCAACCUGGGAACCGCGCUUGAGACUGGCACGCUCGAGUUCGGGAGAGGAUGGUGGAAUUUCCAGUGUAGAGGUGAAAUUCGUAGAUAUUGGGAAGAACACCGAUGGCGAAGGCAGCCAUCUGGACCGACACUGACGCUGAGGCGCGAAAGCGUGGGGAGCAAACAGG
rnacentral:rRNA from 1 species